rnacentral:rRNA from 1 species
UACGUAGGGUGCGAGCGUUAAUCGGAAUUACUGGGCGUAAAGCGUGCGCAGGCGGCAGAGCAAGUCGAGUGUGAAAGCCCCGGGCUUAACUUGGGAAUUGCGCUCGAAACUACUUUGCUGGAGUGUGGCAGAGGAAGGUGGAAUUCCACGUGUAGCGGUGAAAUGCGUAGAGGUGUGGAGGAACACCAAUGGCGAAGGCAGCCUUCUGGGCCAACACUGACGCUCAUGCACGAAAGCGUGGGGAGCAAACAGG